AUGGCGACACUACGGUAUCGUUUCUCUCUUGGGAGCAUCAUUUGUGGAGCAGCGCUGGAAGUCAGAGGCAGGAGGUGGAGUGGCUUCGUCUUGCACGGAGCUUCGGUGGAGAUGUCAAGUCAUGCCUGGCCGACAGGUGCUACGCUUUGUCAUGCCUGGUCGGCAGGUGCUACGCACGACAGAUCUUCCAGAGACUUCAAGCCGUGUUGGCUGGUGGUACUUGGCGGCAUGGUGCUGAGGGGUACCGGCGGCGACCGCGACGUGCUCAGCAGUUCACGCGCAGGGAGGUGGUGCCGUUGGGCGAUGUGGUGGCGUCGGCGGCAGCUAGACCGGGCAAGGAUGAUGCGUCAGUACAACUCUGAAGAUGGAGUGGUGGUAGUUGGCGGCGGCGGCCUCUGA
rnacentral:rRNA from 1 species